CCCCUUAGAUUUUUUGCAUUCAGGUGCAAGACCUGCAAUGAUUCACGAAUCUCCUUAGCAAUGGCUUCACCAGUGACACGGGGCAGAGUGCUAAACUGCAAGAAUUCCUCGCGGAUGUUCUUGGCACUGUCAACAAACCUUACACAAAGAGGCAUCAUUUCUUUGUUGUGAGAAGUGACCUCGCCAACCGUAAUGGAUAAAUAUCGAGCAUCUCUCACCUCUUGCAAAAUGAACCUCUGUAUAAAAUCCUUUCCAAUAACUUCGGCCAAUAGACCUUUUCACAGGGCGUGGCACUAACGACGUCAUCGCCUACCGCACGCCGAUUUGGUUAGCUUUUGAUGCAUUGGCGUUUGUUAACCGCGUGAGUCUAGAGCCAAAGCAACAAUUUUUCUUUUCGAACUUUAACCGGUGCGUAUAGCGAUGCAUCGAAUCAGGUGAGGCCUCAUUAGGACUCGGUUCUUGUGUGUUUUGCGUGUUUUGCAGUGAUGAACAACCUCUUUCUGAUCUCUUUCGUGACUCUACCGCGUUAUUUUGAGUGAUGAUUUAACAUUGAGACUUGACAGAUGUCAAAUAGUACUACACAAGGCUAGAGACCAAAGGUUUGACGGAGCCGUCUAUCUGUGUAAACUGAAGGUUCCGCCCAUGGGAGGGUCUACGCAGUAAACAAUUGCGGUUGAUAGGCGUUGAGCUGUCAUUAGACGCUUUGUGCCAAGAAUGGAUGGUUCGCUAGAACUGGUGAAUGGCAACAAAGACCGGUUGCAAUACACGGUAAGCAAUUAAGAAUUUAACUAUCUAAUUAAGUAUGAUUGACAAAAAUUGAUUUAAGUGGAAUACAUCGUGCAUAAACUAGUUUCUCUAGGCUGAAAUUCGAUUAGUUGCUUAUAGUAUUGGCAAGACCUCUAGAGGAGAUGUACAAAAAGGCUUCUAUGAGCUAAACUUCGAUUCAAAAAGUAAUGUCAACAUGAUAAGUUUUUGGUGAUGUAAUAGGCAUAGAACAGGCCUGUGGUCAAAGUCGUUUUGCGCAGGUUAUGCAAGACAUUCGGCAGCGCAUAAAACGCCAUGAAUAUAGCACAGCACUAUCGCGACGGCCUCGUCAUCCUAGGAAUUCCAGAUCCGUAUCUCGCGCCACGUUACCAACGCAGGACUCAUCACAACAUCCACCUCUUGAUCAUGAACAGGCAGUUGGUGAUGAAGGUUUGGGAAACCUGCAGCUGUCGCCAAUUGCAGGCUCGGAACUACGUAUUUCUCGUGCACGUGAUAAUUGUAAUUCAUUAUCGCAAUAUUUAAAUUCAAUUUGUGGUACGUAGCAGGUGAAAUAGAUUUCCAAGCUGCAGGGCUAGCGACAGCUGCAGGUAGCGUACCCACUUCCAAGCAACAGAUGCAUGCUUUUGAACAAUCAUGACAAUGGGCUGCCCCGUGGCACUGGGACUUCUAGCUAAACAACAGGUAUUCUAAAAAUAGCUGUAUAUAGAUACUCUGGUAUAGUGUGACUUACAAUCAUUUUUUAAUUAACAUAA